GAAUUAUUGGGCGUAAAGCGCGCGCAGGCGGUCCUUUAAGUCUGAUGUGAAAGCCCACGGCCCAACCGUGGAGGGUCAUUGGAAACUGGGGGACUUGAGUGCAGAAGAGGAGAGCGGAAUUCCACGUGUAGCGGUGAAAUGCGUAGAAAUGUGGAGGAACACCAGUGGCGAAGGCGGCUCUCUGGUCUGUAACUGACGCUGAGGCGCGAAAGCGUGGGGAGCGAACAGGAUUAGAUACCCUGGUAGUCCACGCCGUAAACGAUGAGUGCUAAGUGUUAGAGGGUUUCCGCCCUUUAGUGCUGCAGCAAACGCAUUAAGCACUCCGCCUGGGGAGUACGGUCGCAAGACUGAAACUCAAAGGAAUUGACGGGGGCCCGCACAAGCGGUGGAGCAUGUGGUUUAAUUCGAAGCAACGCGAAGAACCUUACCAGGUCUUGACAUCCUCUGACACUCCUAGAGAUAGGAUUUUCCUUUCGGGGACAGAGUGACAGGUGGUGCAUGGUUGUCGUCAGCUCGUGUCGUGAGAUGUUGGGUUAAGUCCCGCAACGAGCGCAACCCUUGAUCUUAGUUGCCAGCAUUCAGUUGGGCACUCUAAGGUGACUGCCGGUGGCAAACCGGAGGAAGGUGGGGAUGAUGUCAAAUCAUCAUGCCCCUUAUGACCUGGGCUACACACGUGCUACAAUGGAUGGUACAAAGGGCAGCGAAACCGCGAGGUUAAGCCAAUCCCAUAAAACCAUUCUCAGUUCGGAUUGCAGGCUGCAACUCGCCUGCAUGAAGCCGGAAUCGCUAGUAAUCGCGGAUCAGCAUGCCGGGGUGAAUACGUUCCCGGGCCUUGUACACACCGCCCGUCACACCACGAGAGUUUGUAACACCCGAAGUCGGUGGGGUAACCGUAAGGAGCCAGCCGCCUAAGGUGGGACAGAUGAUUGGGGUG
rnacentral:rRNA from 1 species